rnacentral:rRNA from 1 species
AGGAUCAUUGAAUUAUUAAACCACAACGUCAACCCGUUACCAUGCGCUUGACGUGCUAGUGGGGGCAUUCGGCUGAAUGCGUCUCACAGCUGGUUGGGAAUUGCUACCCACACCAGUGGCCGUCUCGGCAUGAGUGUUCCAUGCGUUUGGGUUGCCAGUGGCGGCCCCCGCAUGACUGUUCCGUGCGCUUGGCGUGUCGGUGGGGCAUUCGGGUUAUAAGCCCGUCUGCAUCUCACAGCUGGUUGGGAAAUGCUACCCAACCAGUGGCCGCCUUGGCAUGACCAUACACCAAGGGCCAACCGCUGAUUAAACCAAACUCUGAAGCUGUGACUGCUAUUUGAUUGGCAGUCUUAACCAAAGACAACUCUCAACAACGGAUAUCUUGGCUCUCGCAACGAUGAAGAACGCAGCGAAAUGCGAUACGUAGUGUGAAUUGCAGAAUUCCGUGAACCAUCGAAUCUUUGAACGCAUAUUGCGCUCGAGCCUUCGGGCGAGAGCAUGUCUGCCUCAGCGUCGGUUUACACCAUCACCCCCCAAAUUUCUUUUUGGGUGUGUCGGCAUUUAUUGCUGGCUGUAGGGGUGGAUCUGACUUCCCCAACCUGCAAUGCGUUUGGUUGGGCUAGUUGAAGUGCAGAGGCUUAAGCAAGGACCCAUUAAGGGCUUCAACUGGAUAGGUAGCACCGGCUUGUGCCGACUACACGAAGUUGUUGCUUGUGGAUCUUGCUGGUGCCAAGCAGGAACGUGCCAAAUGGCAUGUCUAAACUUUCGACCUGAGCUCAGGCAAGGCUACCCGCUGAACUUAAGCAUAUCAAUAAGCGGAGGA